GACGAACGUUGGCGGCGUGCUUAACACAUGCAAGUCGAACGGAAAGGCCCUGCUUUUGUGGGGUGCUCGAGUGGCGAACGGUUGAGUAACACGUGAGUAACCUGCCCUUGACUUUGGGAUAACUUCAGGAAACUGGGGCUAAUACCGGAUAGGAGCUCCUGCUGCAUGGUGGGGGUUGGAAAGUUUCGGCGGUUGGGGAUGGACUCGCGGCUUAUCAGCUUGUUGGUGGGGUAGUGGCUUACCAAGGCUUUGACGGGUAGCCGGCCUGAGAGGGUGACCGGCCACAUUGGGACUGAGAUACGGCCCAGACUCCUACGGGAGGCAGCAGUGGGGAAUAUUGCACAAUGGGCGGAAGCCUGAUGCAGCAACGCCGCGUGCGGGAUGACGGCCUUCGGGUUGUAAACCGCUUCCGCCUGUGACGAAGCGUGAGUGACGGUAAUGGGUAAAGAAGCACCGGCUAACUACGUGCCAGCAGCCGCGGUGAUACGUAGGGUGCGAGCGUUGUCCGGAUUUAUUGGGCGUAAAGGGCUCGUAGGUGGUUGAUCGCGUCGGAAGUGUAAUCUUGGGGCUUAACCCUGAGCGUGCUUUCGAUACGGGUUGACUUGAGGAAGGUAGGGGAGAAUGGAAUUCCUGGUGGAGCGGUGGAAUGCGCAGAUAUCAGGAGGAACACCAGUGGCGAAGGCGGUUCUCUGGGCCUUUCCUGACGCUGAGGAGCGAAAGCGUGGGGAGCGAACAGGCUUAGAUACCCUGGUAGUCAACGCUGUAAACGGUGGGUACUAGGUGUGGGGUCCAUUCCACGGGUUCCGUGCCGUAGCUAACGCUUUAAGUACCCCGCCUGGGGAGUACGGCCGCAAGGCUAAAACUCAAAGGAAUUGACGGGGCCCCGCACAAGCGGCGGAGCAUGCGGAUUAAUUCGAUGCAACGCUUAGAACCUUACCUGGGUUUGACAUGGAUCGGGAGUGCUCAGAGAUGGGUGUGCCUCUUUUGGGGUCGGUUCACAGGUGGUGCAUGCCUGUCGUCAGCUCGUGUCGUGAGAUGUUGGGUUAAGUCCCGCAACGAGCGCAACCCUUGUUCACUGUUGCCAGCACGUUAUGGUGGGGACUCAGUGGAGACCGCCGGGGUCAACUCGGAGGAGGGUGGGGAUGACGUCAAGUCCUCAUGCCCCUUAUGUCCAGGGCUUCACGCAUGCUACAAUGGCUGGUACAGAGAGUGGCGAGCCUGUGAGGGUGAGCGAAUCUCGGAAAGCCGGUCUCAGUUCGGAUUGGGGUCUGCAACUCGACCUCAUGAAGUCGGAGUCGCUAGUAAUCGCAGAUCAGCAACGCUGCGGUGGAUACGUUCCCGGGGCU
rnacentral:rRNA from 1 species